AUUCUUGCCUGGAGAAUCCUGUGGACAGAGGAGAUUGGCUACAGUCCGUGGGGUCGCACAGAGUCGGACACGACCAAAGCAGCUCAGCACGCACGCACACAAGCAGCUGAGAAUGAGUGAGGUGUCAGCGUUUACUGCUUCCUAAAGCUCCAACCCUGGACUCAGCCUCCAGCUCACCCUGGAGCAAGAAAAGAUCAACGUAAACCUGGGAAAAGGCAAGACAGUGGAGCCCAGGGAUGCCGCUGAGGGGAUCAAGCCCUUUCUGAUGUUUUGCUUGGGAAGGCAGAAUUUCGUUGCCUGGUGCCUCAGCUAAUUGGCCUCCAUCUGAUACUCCGGAGGGCUUGUGUGAUUAGAAGCCACAGCUGCCUUGCUCAUUAUUUCUGAUUAAUAGGCAGCACUUGGCAUCUCUGGGCAACGGUGCUGGCUCAGGAUCCAGGUGUGAUCUACACAGCCCACAAGAGCAUGAUGGCUUUGCAGCCCUGAGGUGGGAAGCUGUCCCCACCGAAAGCAUUGUCUUAUACCCAGCCACUUCCUCUGAGGACAACCGAAGCUGAAUGAGAAAUGAGUUCCUGAGAUGUUGCAAUACCCGGGACCAUGAGGACAAGUAACCCCUACUGAAGCCUGCGCUCCACAAAAAGAGAAGCCAGUGCAAUGAGAAGCCCAUGCACUUCAACUAGAGAGGAGCCCUCCGCUGGCACAGCUAGAGAAAGCCUGUGUGCAGCAGCGAAGACCCAGUGC
ensembl:lncRNA